CAGUUUUGGUCCUAGACUUGUUGCUAUUUUUAAUUAAAAUUACACAUGUAAGUAUCCGCACACCAGUGAAACAGCAAAGCAGUAUAAACGGAGCAGGUAUCAGGCACGAACAUCAGCCCAAGACACUUUGCCACGCCACACCCACAAGGAACUCAGCAGUGAUAAACAUUAAGCAAUAAACGACCCCACCCAACCCAAAGCUUGACUUAGUUAUAAUUAUUCAAGAGUCGGCAAAUCUCGUGCCAGCCGCCGCGGUUAUACGAGAGACCCAAAUAAGCAACCAAACGGCGUAAAUUGUGGCUAGAAUCAUUAAACCAAACCGUAAGACAAUGAACCACCACCUAUCAGUAGAAUACAGGAUAAAAGAAUCACCUUACCACCGGCCAUUUGAACCCACGAAAACUAAGAAACAAACUAGGAUUAGAUACCCUACUAUGCUUAGUUAUUAAUAAGACACACUUGUCCGCCAGAGAAUUACAAGCGAAAAGCUUAAAACUCAAAAGACUUGGCGGUGCCCACACUCAACUUAGAGGAGCCUGUCCUAUAAUCGAUAACCCACGAUAAACCUGACCACCUUUUGCCACCACAGCCUAUAUACCGCCGUCACCAAUCUACCUCUACAAGAGACACACAGUAGGUAAAAUAGUGUUUCACUAAAACAUCAGGUCAAGGUGUAGCUUAUAGGGUGGAAGAGAUGGGCUACAUUCUUUAACCAAUAAAGCACACAAAAAGAAGCAUGAAAAGCCCCCCCAAAGGAGGAUUUAACAGUAAAACUAGUAAGAAAACUAAUUUUAAGCUCGCUCUGGGGCGCGCACACACCGCCCGUCACCCUCUUCAAUCCACCACCAAACCUAACUAAAACAAACACAACAAAAGACGAGGCAAGUCGUAACAUGGUAAGCGCACUGGAAAGUGUGCUUGGAAUA
rnacentral:ncRNA from 1 species